CCCCUUCACAUCGGCCGCGGAUCGCCUAUAUACGCUGGUGCUGGUUUCGGCCGGCUAUGGCGAUAAACUGCGGCGUGUAAUAGGCGCAGCGGACCCGGGGGCAGUACCCGGCGGCUCCACCACCUCUUCCGUUGUCGCGGGGGACAUGACGGGGCCGAACCAGGAUCGACGUGUGUUCAAAAGCGCUGUUUUUGCCCGGGCUGAGUAACCCGUUAAAGGCUCAAAACCCACAAGUGCCAACGACAACGAAGCACUUGCUAUCGCGGCGUAAUUCUAGGGGCUAACGCCCUGAAGUUACAAUGCUAAGCGCGGUCGGACCCACCGGGCAACAGAAGGGAUUCCAGCGGCGCGGGGCGGGCCGGGCAACAGAACCGCCCCAUU
rnacentral:tmRNA from 1 species